GCAGCUGCACACACAGGUGAGUGCGCGCACACGAGCAGCAGCGUAGAGCGCGGCCGCGAUCAAGGCGGCGGAGAACCGAACAGAGUCGAGCGGAACCGGACAUGAGACUCGAUUACCUGAGGCCGGAGUGAGCAGAACGGCGGCGUGGAGCACCGGAGACCGUAACCGUGACCAUCAGACUGAGGGAUCCAGCAGAUUGAAGGCUCCUUAUCCAAUCACUGACUUCUGACAGGUCAAGCCCCGCCUCUUCAGCUGAGCUCAGCCAAUCAGACGCCUCUCCUCCACCAUGGCGUGCUACUACAACGAGACUGUGGUUUUCUUCUACAACAUCAGCCAUAAGAACAUCAGCGACACGUGGGGGACUAAAGAGAAGGUGGUGGUGGCUCUGGGGCUGCUGGUCAGUGUUUUUGUCAUCUUCACCAACAUCCUGGUGAUGGCGGCCAUCUUCAUGAACCGCCGCUUUCAUUACCCCAUUUAUUACCUGCUGGGGAACCUGGCGGCGGCAGAUCUGUUCGCCGGGACGUCCUACAUGUACCUGAUGUUCCACACCGGGCCCUGGACCGUCAGGCUCACCACAUACCAGUGGUUCGUGCGGCAGGGUCUGAUCGACACCAGCCUGACGGCGUCCGUCAUUAACCUGAUGGCUAUCGCACUGGAGCGGCACCAGACCAUCUUCACCAUGCAGCUGCACAGUAAGAUGACCAACCACCGGGUGGUGCUGCUGAUCCUGGGCAUCUGGGCGGUGGCCGUCAUCAUGGGUCUGGUGCCCGCUAUGGGCUGGAACUGCGUGUGCGACAUCGGGAACUGCUCCACAAUGGCGCCGCUCUACAGCCGCAGCUAUCUGGUGUUCUGGGCCGCCAUCAACCUGCUGACCUUCACCGUGAUGGUGGGCGUCUACACGCGCAUCUUUGUUUACGUGCGACGCAAGAGCCAGCGCAUGAGCCAGCACACCUCGCAGGUCAAACACAAGGAGACGGUGGUCAACCUGAUGAAGACCGUGGUCAUGAUCCUCGGCUGUUUCGUGGUGUGCUGGACGCCGGGUAUGGUGCUGCUGCUGCUGGAUGGGCUCUGCCGCUCCUGUAAUGUUCUGACCUAUGAGAAGUUCUUCCUGGUUCUGGCUGAGAGCAACUCCUUCAUGAACCCCAUCAUCUACUCGUACCGGGACAAGGACAUGCGGGACACCUUCAAGCGGGUCCUGUGCCUGUGCUGUCGGUCCAAGCAGAGCGAUGAGCACUCGGGCGUGCGCUUCAACACCCUGGAGCAGGAGAGGAGACGGCGUGUGCAGCAGGAGUCGUAUCUCGUAUGUAGUUUUACUCCUCUUUAAUCACUCCAUUACUCACUCCUGAUUGGCUGAUUUUGAGCCACUAACAGCUCGGUGAUUGGUUGACACUGGUGUGGGUCUCAAUAUAACGUCAGGGUCUCUCACACACACACACACACACUGCACUAGUGGUAUGCGCUGCAGUAACUAACAGCACGCUGCAUUAUUCUCAGGCUCCUGCAUUAACCCUGUGCAGAAUGCCCUGGGGUUUGCUUAUUUUGAGUUAUUUUAAAGCUUUUAUUGUGAUUUUUGUGCUUUAAUUUCUGUGAUCUGAAGUUUGAUCUGUGAUCAGUCUCAUGAACCGUGUCGAAUGCGCCUCAUAUUUCAGACAAACACACACGUCAUUGUUAGGCCACUAUUGUUAACACUAAUUAAUGCAUAAGCUAUCAAUGUGCAUAUAUUGACACACACACACACACACACACACACACACACACACACACACACACACACAUAUAUAUAUAUGAGCAAUAUCACACUCUCAGCAGUGCGAUAUGGCUAUAGAUUGCCUUAGCAUCCCAUCAGUGCUGAUAUACAGCCAUAUUGCACUGCUGCUCGUGUGAUAUUGCAUUUAUACAACAGUCGAUGGCAUAAUCAUGUAUAUAAAAAAGAAAAUCAAACACGUAGAGUCUCAACCCUUUUGUAUUAUUAACUACCAUCAAUUCACAUCUUCAGCUGACGUCAGAACAGCAGAAACCGUUACUCAUUCACCAACGUCACUGUAGAGCUAGUGUUUGAGUGAUUCUCUAGCGUAAAGCAGGUGAUUUUGCUAAUAUUUUAAGGUUAUAAGGCUGAACGUGACAUGCAAUCAGAUAUCUCCCUGCAGUAUUACAGUCUGUUGCAGUCGGGAUAUCACAGUAAAUAACCCUGAAAAUGCAACGCAAUCACUACCAGAUGCUGUUGUGUUUACGAUUAAGUAAAGAUGCUAAACACAUGCGGGCAUUUCUUCUGUCUUUCUGCCAACACAACACACAUUCCUGAUAUGCCAGUCCCUUAUCGCACACUCAAUACACUACAAUUAUAUGGUAUAAAUACAGCACUACAGCGUACAAAAGAGAGAGAUCGACUUAGAAUAUCACUUACCAGUUUAAUAAUGAUUUGAUCAGCUGUAGUUAGACACCGUUUAAUCUUCAAAGUGCUUAUUAUGCGGUCCUGUCGCCAUCUUGUGGAUCGAUAACCGUCUUUGGCAAAUGGCAGCCAACGCGCUGUCUCUCAGAAAUUAUACAUAUUUAAAAUAGGCUCUAUCCUUAUAAAUUAACUGCAUAGUUGCAGUCUGAACAACUCCAUUCUCACCGACAAAAGCCGCAAAAGUACACUAUGUUGUGCAAUAGCGGCAAUAUUUGUCAAACUGUAGAGUGUCGCUGUAUGUGGGGGAAGUAGUAUACAAGGGUACAGGGUGAGGAGGCUGGUGUAGUGCUGUUAUUGCAGAAUAUCACACAGCUAUCAGCUAAUCAGAUUCGAGAACCAGUCCGAACUGUUGUAUAAAAAAAAAAAUAUAUAUAUAUAUAUAUAUAUAUAUAUAUACACACACACACACACACACACACACACACACACACACACACACUGAUGUUCAUGACUAUUUGACACCAUCUUGCUCCUCAAUAAUAAUAAUAGCGGUGUAAUAAUGACAGUAAUGUACACCCCGCCGGUGGUUAUCAGAGAAUAAACCCUUCAGUCCUAUGAACAGCUGCUGAUAGACCUGUGAGGCUUUAUUCUGUGAUCAACACCGGCUGCAUCUACAUUAUUCCUGUACACACGAUCAUGUACGUUCACAGCAGGGAUGAGGACAACAGAAACAUCUAAUCUAAUUCCUGGAAGCUACACUGCUGUUGUAGAGUAACGGUGCAUUAGCUAACGCUAGCAGAUGUGUUAAGCGUACUGUGAGCUGCUGGUGAAUGUAGAUGAGGAGGAUGUUUAUUUCUCUUCAUUAUGACUCUCUCAAUGAUGCUCGUCUGAGAUUAUGAUCGACUCAAUAAAUUCAUAAUGAAUCAUUUCA